rnacentral:rRNA from 1 species
UACGUAGGGGGCAAGCGUUGUCCGGAUUUAUUGGGCUUAAAGGGUGCGUAGGCGGUUUUUUAAGUCAGUGGUGAAAUCCGGCAGCUUAACUGUCGAUGUGCCAUUGAUACUGCAGAACUUGAGUACAGUCGAGGUAGGCGGAAUUGACGGUGUAGCGGUGAAAUGCUUAGAUAUCGUCAAGAACACCGAUAGCGAAGGCAGCUUACUAGACUGUAACUGACGCUGAUGCACGAAAGUGUGGGGAUCAAACAGG